rnacentral:misc_RNA from 1 species
UGGACCUCGAGGGAUGCCUAACACUUCCCCUCUAGUUAAUUUGAACCCUUAGUCAUUCUCUUAUUCGUUGACCUUAGUUAGACUAGUUAGAUUAUAUAGGUGCCCUAACGCGCCUUAAUUCGUUAGGUGGCGACUCCUUAAACUCAAAGUUUCAAAAGAGCUGUUAGGUCGUGCACAAAACCCAUUUUUUACUGAAAAAAAUAGAGUGCGAUAGAAUGACGACUCCACCGUGG